rnacentral:rRNA from 1 species
CAGCAGCCACGGUAAUACAGAGGGUGCGAGCGUUAAUCGGAUUUACUGGGCGUAAAGCGUGCGUAGGCGGCUAAUUGAGUCGGAUGUGAAAUCCCCGAGCUUAACUUGGGAAUUGCAUUCGAUACUGGUUAGCUAGAGUGUGGGAGAGGAUGGUAGAAUUCCAGGUGUAGAGGUGAAAUGCGUAGAGAUCUGGAGGAAUACCGAUGGCGAAGGCAGCCAUCUGGCCUAACACUGACGCUGAGGUACGAAAGCAUGGGGAGCAAACAGGAUUAGAUACCCCUGUAGUCCCUGUCUCUUAUAC